GCGACCCCAGGAUGGGCGAGGCCACCCGCCGAGUUUAAGCAUAUCAAUAAGCGGAGGAGAAGAA
rnacentral:rRNA from 10 species